AGUUGAUUAUGGCUCAGGAUGAACGCUGGCGGCGUGCCUAACACAUGCAAGUCGAACGAAGCAUAACGGAAUGAGAUUCGUCGAAGGAAGUUAUGACUUAGUGGCGGACGGGUGAGUAAUGUAUGAGCAACCUGCCUUUCAGAGGGGGACAACAGUUGGAAACGACUGCUAAUACCGCAUAAUGUAUUUGGGUGGCAUCACUUGGAUGCCAAAGGAGCAAUCCGCUGAAAGAUGGGCUCAUAUCUGAUUAGUUAGUUGGCAGGGUAACGGCCUACCAAGACUGCGAUCAGUAGCCGGACUGAGAGGUUGAACGGCCACAUUGGGACUGAGAUACGGCCCAGACUCCUACGGGAGGCAGCAGGUGGGGAAUAUUGGGCAAUGGGCGAAAGCCUCGACCCAGCAACGCCGCGUGAAGGAAGAAGGUCUUCGGAUUGUAAACUUCUUUUAUGAGGGACGAAGGACGUGACGGUACCUCAUGAAUAAGCCACGGCUAACUACGUGCCAGCCGCUGC
rnacentral:rRNA from 1 species